rnacentral:tRNA from 1 species
GCCACGGUGGUCUAGUGGUUAGAACGCUGGCCUUGUAACCUGGGGUCUCGGGUUCGAUUCCCGGCAGUGCCC